rnacentral:lncRNA from 1 species
UUAUUUUGUGUUUUAAAUCUAACAAUUGUCUUGGUUUCAGGUGGCCAUGAGGCCUUAUCGACGCCGAGGUUGACCCCGAUGCGAGAUCAUUCUGCGCCACCAAAGAUGCCAGAGCAGGCAGGACCUAGUGCACCACCGAAGUUGAGGGAGCUGUUAGCUGCCUUGGCGAAUGCGACUAGGCAGUAGGGUGUGUUACUACAGAGGAUGUGCAAAACGUUCACUCAGCAGCCGAGUACAGCACCCAGAGCGUCAGAGUCACAGGCGCCACCCCCGACUAUUCCUGUAGGUACUCCAGCAGCAAAUACACCCCUACCAGCGACAGCACCGACCGCACCUACUGCUGAUACUUCACGGUUAGGUGGGCAGAUGUCUGAGGCCGAGCAGGAGC